UUUCACACAGUAAUACACGGCUGUGUCCUCGGCUCUCAGGCUGUUCACUUGCAGAUACAGAGUGUUCUUGUCGUUGUCUCUGGAGAUGGUGAAUCGGCCCUUCACAGAGUCUUCAUAGAAGGUUCUUCCACUAG